CCUACGGGAGGCUGCAGUAGGGAAUUUUGCGCAAUGGGCGAAAGCCUGACGCAGCAACGCCGCGUGAUCGAGACGCCCUUCGGGGUGUAAAGAUCUGUCAGUGGGGACGAAACUUGACGGUACCCACAGAGGAAGCACCGGCUAACUCCGUGCCAGCAGCCGCGGUAAUACGGGGGGUGCAAGCGUUGUCCGGAUUUACUGGGUGUAAAGGGCGUGUAGCCGGGUUGACAAGUCAGAUGUGAAAUCCUGCGGCUUAACCGCAGAACUGCAUUUGAAACUGUUGAUCUUGAGUACUGGAGAGGCAGACGGAAUUCCUAGUGUAGCGGUGAAAUGCGUAGAUAUUAGGAGGAACACCAGUGGCGAAGGCGGUCUGCUGGACAGCAACUGACGGUGAGGCGCGAAAGCGUGGGGAGCAAACAGGAUUAGAUACCCUAGUAGUC
rnacentral:rRNA from 1 species